GCCGGGCGUGGUGGCUCACACCUGUAAUCUCAGUACUUUGGGAGGCUGAGGUGGGUGGAUCACCUGAGGUCAGGAGUUCGAGACUAGCCUGGCCAACAUGGUGAAACCCCAUCUCUA
rnacentral:SRP_RNA from 1 species